rnacentral:rRNA from 1 species
UGGGGAAUUUUGGACAAUGGGGGAAACCCUGAUCCAGCCAUCCCGCGUGUGCGAUGAAGGCCUCCGGGUUGUAAAGCACUUUUGGCAGGAAAGAAACGUCAUGGGUUAAUACCCCGUGAAACUGACGGUACCUGCAGAAUAAGCACCGGCUAACUACGUGCCAGCAGCCGCGGUAAUACGUAGGGUGCAAGCGUUAAUCGGAAUUACUGGGCGUAAAGCGUGCGCAGGCGGUUCGGAAAGAAAGAUGUGAAAUCCCAGAGCUCAACUUUGGAACUGCAUUUUUAACUACCGGGCUAGAGUGUGGCAGAGGGAGGUGGAAUUCCGCGUGUAGCAGUGAAAUGCGUAGAUAUGCGGAGGAACACCGAUGGCGAAGGCAGCCUCCUGGGAUAACACUGACGCUCAUGCACGAAAGCGUGGGGAGCAAACAGG